CAAGCUACGAAGAGCCAACGGUGGAUGCCUUGGCACUGACUACCGAUGAAGGUCGUGAGAGGCUGCGAUAAGCCACGGGGAGCUGCCGACUAAGCCCCGAUCCGUGGAUGACCGAAUGGGGAAACCCAGCACCCGUCAUGGGGUGUUACUCCCGUCUGAACACAUAGGGCGGGUAGAGGGAACCUGGUGAAUUGAAACAUCUAAGUAACCAGAGGAAAAGAAAGCAACAGCGACUCCCUGAGUAGCGGCGAGCGAAACGGGAUCAGCCUAAACCUGUGUGGUGGAAAGCCUGACGGCGUUGCCACAUGGGGGUUGUGGGAACCGAUAGAGGACGCGUCAGAGUCCUCACGGAGUUACAAAGCAAGUGUGUAGUGGAACGGCUCUGGAAAGGCCGGCCAUAGUGGGUAAUAGCCCCGUACGCGAAACGCAUCUUGCCUCCGAUCGUGUCUCCCGAGUAGCGCCGGAUCCGGGAAAGCCGGCGUGAAUCCGCGAGGACCACCUCGUAAGGCUACGUAUAUGUCAGUGACCGAUAGUGAACUAGUACCGUGAGGGAAAGGUGAAAAGUACCCCGGGAGGGGAGUGAAAUAGUACCUGAAACCGUUGGUUUACAAGCAGUCAGAGCGUCGCCCUUGUUCUUCGGAACAUGGGUCGCGAUGGCGUGCCUUUUGAAGAAUGAGCCUGCGAGUUACGGUGUGUGGCAAGGUUAACCCGUGAGGGGAAGCCGGAGCGAAAGCGAGUCUGAACAGGGCGUUCAGUCGCAUGCUGUAGACCCGAAGCCGAGUGAUCUAGCCAUGGGCAGUGUGAAGCGGAGGUAAGACUCCGUGGAGGCGCGAACCCACUUCGGUUGAAAACGGAGGGGAUGACCUGUGGUUAGGGGUGAAAGGCCAAUCAAACUCGGUGAUAGCUGGUUCUCCGCGAAAUGCAUUUAGGUGCAGCGUCGCAUGUUCAACCAUGGAGGUAGAGCACUGGAUGGGUUAGGGGCCCCACAAGGUUACCGACCCCAACCAAACUCCGAAUGCCAUGGUUCCAGAGUGCGGCAGUGAGACCUCGGGGGAUGAGCUUCGAUGGUCGAGAGGGAAACAGCCCAGAUCACCAGCUAAGGCCCCUAAUUCUGUACUAAGUGGUAAACGAUGUGGGAUUGCACAGACAGCCAGGAGGUUGGCUUAGAAGCAGCCACCCUUGAAAGAGUGCGUAACAGCUCACUGGUCGAGUGGUCCUGCGCGGACAAUGUAACGGGGCUCAAGUACAGAGCCGAAGCUGUGAAUUUCUUGUUGGUUUCGACCAACAUGGAGUGGUAGCGGAGCGUCGAUCUUGCAGCGAAGCGGGGGCGGAAGCCGUCGUGGAGCGAGGUCGAGUGCGAAUGCAGGCAUGAGUAGCGAGAGAGGGGUGAGAAACCCCUCCGCCGGAAGUCCAAGGGUUCCUGGGGAAGGCUAAUCCUCCCAGGGUGAGUCGGGAGCUAAGACGAGGCCGAAAGGCGUAGACGAUGCACAACUGGUUGAUAUUCCAGUACCACCACAUUAUGCGCCCAUGUUGAAGCAACCUUGCUAAGGGGAUGCCUCCGGCCCGUAAAACGGCUGGUGGACGAACCGACCCAGGUCGUGGAGGCAAGCAAUGCGGGGACGCAGGAAGGUAAGUGAGCCCAGGCGAUGGUAGUCCUGGGGUAAGCGUGUAGGGAGAGGUCCAGGUAAGUCCGGCCCUCAUGAUCCUGAGACGCGACGCCGAGCCGAAUCAGGCGAAGUCACUGAUCCUAUGCUGCCAAGAAAAGCCGCUAGCUAGUACGUGUGGUGCCCGUACCCCAAACCAACACAGGUGGACAGGUAGAGAAUACCAAGGCGAUUGGGAUAACUAUGGUUAAGGAACUCGGCAAAAUGCGUCCGUAACUUCGGGAGAAGGACGACCCCAAUAGGGUGACGACACUUGCUGUCCGAGCUCGAAGGGGUGGCACAAACCAGAGGGAAGCGACUGUUUACUAAAAACACAGCAGCGUGCGAAGCCGUAAGGCGCUGUAUACGCUGUGACUCCUGCCCGGUGCUGGAAGGUUACGGGGAAGGGUUAGCCGUAAGGCGAAGCUCUGAACCUAAGCCCCAGUAAACGGCGGCCGUAACUAUAACGGUCCUAAGGUAGCGAAAUUCCUUGUCGGGUAAGUUCCGACCUGCACGAAUGGAGUAACGACUCCCCUACUGUCUCAACCAUAGACCCAGCGAAAUUGAAGUACGAGUAAAGAUGCUCGUUAGCUACAGAAGGACGGAAAGACCCCGUGGACCUUUACUACAGUUUGGUAUUGGUUUUUGGUCUGAGUUGUGUAGGAUAGGUGGGAGACUAGGAAGCAUUGGCGCCAGCUAGUGUGGAGUCGUCCUUGAAAUACCACCCUUCUCAUGCUGGAAAUCUAACUUCGGCCCGUUAUCCGGGUCAGGGACAGUGCCAGAUGGGUAGUUUGACUGGGGCGGUCGCCUCCUAAAUGGUAACGGAGGCGCUCAAAGGUUCCCUCAGACUGGUCGGCCAUCAGUCGUUGAGUGCAAUCGCACAAGGGAGCUUGACUGCGAGACUAACAAGUCGAGCAGGUACGAAAGUAGGAGAUAGUGAUCCGGCGGUUGCGUGUGGAAGCGCCGUCGCUCAACGGAUAAAAGGUACCCCGGGGAUAACAGGCUAAUCUUCCCCAAGAGUCCAUAUCGACGGGAAGGUUUGGCACCUCGAUGUCGGCUCAUCGCAUCCUGGGGCUGAAGCAGGUCCCAAGGGUUGGGCUGUUCGCCCAUUAAAGCGGUACGCGAGCUGGGUUUAGAACGUCGUGAGACAGUUCGGUCCCUAUCCUCUGUAGCCGGAAGAGAUUUGAGGAAACCUAUCCCUAGUACGAGAGGACCGGGAUGGACGUAGCUCUCGUGUGCCAGUUGUCCUGCCAAGGGCAUGGCUGGUUGGCGACCUACGGGAGGGAUAACCGCUGAAAGCAUCUAAGCGGGAAGCCUGUUCCAAGAUGAGAUCUCUCACCGGGUUAACCGGGUAAGGCCCGUGGCAGAACACCACGUUGAUAGGCCGGAAGUGUACGUGCAGUAAUGCAUUCAGCUGACCGGUACUAAUCGGCCGAGGGCUUGGU
rnacentral:rRNA from 1 species